GAAAUGCGAUAAUUAAUGUGAAUUGCAGAAUUCGGUGAAUCAUCGAGUCUUUGAACGCACAUUGCGCCCCCUGGUAUUCCGGGGGGCAUGCCUGUCCGAGCGUCAUUGCUGCCCUCAAGCACGGCUUGUGUGUUGGGCUUCCGUCCCUGGCAACGGGGACGGGCCCAAAAGGCAGUGGCGGCACCAUGUCUGGUCCUCGAGCGUAUGGGGCUUUGUCACCCGCUCCCGUAGGUCCAGCUGGCAGCUAGCCUCGCAACCAAUCUUUUUAACCAGGUUGACCUCGGAUCAGGUAGUGAUACCCGCUGAACUUAAGC
rnacentral:misc_RNA from 1 species